rnacentral:misc_RNA from 1 species
AACGCACCUUGCGCUCCUUGGUAUUCCGAGGAGCAUGCCUGUUUGAGUGUCAUUAAUAUAUCAACCUCCUCAGGUUUUUACUUGUCGAGUGUUUGGAUGUGGGGGUUUUUUUUGCUGGUCUCUCUUGAGAUCGGCUCCCCUGAAAUGCAUUAGCGGAACAAUUUGUUGACCCGUUCAUUGGUGUGAUAACUAUCUACGCUAUUGACGUGAAGCAGGUUCAGCUUCUAACAGUCCAUUAACUUGGACAAAUUUUCAUUAAUGUGACCUCAAAUCAGGUAGGACUACCCGCUGAACUUAA